CCUACGGGUGGCAGCAGUGGGGAAUAUUGCACAAUGGGCGCAAGCCUGAUGCAGCCAUGCCGCGUGUGUGAAGAAGGCCUUCGGGUUGUAAAGCACUUUCAGCGGGGAGGAAGGCGGUGAGGUUAAUAACCUCAUCGAUUGACGUUACCCGCAGAAGAAGCACCGGCUAACUCCGUGCCAGCAGUCGCGGUAAUACGGAGGGUGCAAGCGUUAAUCGGAAUUACUGGGCGUAAAGCGCACGCAGGCGGUCUGUCAAGUCGGAUGUGAAAUCCCCGGGCUCAACCUGGGAACUGCAUUCGAAACUGGCAGGCUAGAGUCUUGUAGAGGGGGGUAGAAUUCCAGGUGUAGCGGUGAAAUGCGUAGAGAUCUGGAGGAAUACCGGUGGCGAAGGCGGCCCCCUGGACAAAGACUGACGCUCAGGUGCGAAAGCGUGGGGAGCAAACAGGAUUAGAUACCCCUGUAGUC
rnacentral:rRNA from 1 species